CCUACGGGAGGCAGCAGUGAGGAAUAUUGGUCAAUGGGCGGAAGCCUGAACCAGCCAAGUCGCGUGAGGGAAUAAGGCCCUACGGGUCGUAAACCUCUUUUGCCGGGGAGCAAGGGCGGGGACGUGUCCCGGCCCGGAGAGUACCCGGAGAAAAAGCAGCGGCUAACUCGGUGCCAGCAGCCGCGGUAAUACGGAGGAUGCGAGCGUAAUCCGGAUUUGUUGGGUUGAACGGGUGCGUAGGAGGGCUUUUAAGUCAGCGGUAACACUUCGGGGCUCAACCCCGUCCGGCCGUUGAAACUGGGGGCCUUGAGUGGGCGCGAAGACGGCGGAAUGCGUGGUGUAGCGGUGCACUGCAUCGCUAUCACGCAGAACCCCGAUUGCGAAGGCAUCCUUCCGGCGCCCUCCUGCCGCUGAGGCACGAUCGUGCGGGGAUCGAACAGGAUUAGAUACCCCAGUAGUC
rnacentral:rRNA from 1 species